AUACUUACCUGGGUGGGGUUUAUGGAUGAUCAACAAGGUCUAUGGCCUAGGAAAGUAACUUUCAUUGCACUUAGAAAGGGUGCUUCUUUAAGGUCUGUCCACGUGACAGAGCCUACAUCAUAAUUUCUGGUAGUAGGGGCCUGCGUCCGCGCGGCCUCUUU